rnacentral:rRNA from 1 species
GACGAACGCUGGCGGCGUGCCUAAUACAUGCAAGUAGAACGCUGAAGAGAGGAGCUUGCUCUUCUUGGAUGAGUUGCGAACGGGUGAGUAACGCGUAGGUAACCUGCCUUGUAGCGGGGGAUAACUAUUGGAAACGAUAGCUAAUACCGCAUAACAAUGGAUGACACAUGUCAUUUAUUUGAAAGGGGCAAUUGCUCCACUACAAGAUGGACCUGCGUUGUAUUAGCUAGUAGGUGAGGUAAUGGCUCACCUAGGCGACGAUACAUAGCCGACCUGAGAGGGUGAUCGGCCACACUGGGACUGAGACACGGCCCAGACUCCUACGGGAGGCAGCAGUAGGGAAUCUUCGGCAAUGGGGGCAACCCUGACCGAGCAACGCCGCGUGAGUGAAGAAGGUUUUCGGAUCGUAAAGCUCUGUUGUAAGUCAAGACGGGUGUGAGAGUGGAAAGUUCACACUGUGACGGUAGCUUACCAGAAAGGGACGGCUAACUACGUG